rnacentral:tRNA from 1 species
GGGGUUGUGGCUCAGUGGUAGAGUGUUCACCUUGCAUGAAGGAGACUCUGAGUUUGAUCCUUAGCACCACA